UGAGGAAUUUUGGACAAUGGGCGAAAGCCUGAUCCAGCAAUGCCGCGUGUGUGAAGAAGGCCUUCGGGUUGUAAAGCACUUUUGUCCGGAAAGAAAUGGCUCUGGUUAAUACCUGGGGUCGAUGACGGUACCGGAAGAAUAAGGACCGGCUAACUACGUGCCAGCAGCCGCGGUAAUACGUAGGGUCCAAGCGUUAAUCGGAAUUACUGGGCGUAAAGCGUGCGCAGGCGGUUGUGCAAGACCGAUGUGAAAUCCCCGAGCUUAACUUGGGAAUUGCAUUGGUGACUGCACGGCUAGAGUGUGUCAGAGGGGGGUAGAAUUCCACGUGUAGCAGUGAAAUGCGUAGAGAUGUGGAGGAAUACCGAUGGCGAAGGCAGCCCCCUGGGAUAACACUGACGCUCAUGCACGAAAGCGUGGGGAGCAAACAGGAUUAGAUACCCUGGUAGUCCACGCCCUAAACGAUGUCAACUAGUUGUUGGGGAUUCAUUUCCUUAGUAACGUAGCUAACGCGUGAAGUUGACCGCCUGGGGAGUACGGUCGCAAGAUUAAAAGCUCAAAUGAA
rnacentral:rRNA from 1 species